CUUGGAUACUGAGGCUGAGGCAGGCACUUCCGCCUUCCUUUUGGAGAACGCUUCAGACGAAGCGGGGUCCAUUACCAGCUGGGAAAUAUUACUGUGUGAAUGUGCUGAAAAACUUUGGGGAAAUGAGAAGAACAAGAACAUUCUAAAUGUCAGCAGUCAGUUUAAUGGUCUUACCUGUACCCACCAGAGAAGAUUUUAACAGCAAAGAUUCCAUAUGAUAUCGCUUUAUAUGUGGAUUUUUUAAAAAGACGUGUUUUUAAUAAACUGAAACCUACAAUUGAUUCUGAGAUUCUGAGUGCUGAAUCAGGGUUGAGAGAACCACUGGCAACACGGAGGUUGGAAGUAAACCAG
ensembl:lncRNA